rnacentral:rRNA from 1 species
GACGAAUGCUGGCUGCGUGCUUAACACAAGCAAGUCGAGCGGAAAGGCCUCUUCGGGGGUACUCGAGCGGCGAACGGGUGAGUAACACGUGAGCAACCUGCCCUUCACUUUGGGAUAACCAUCGGAAACGGUGGCUAAUACCGGAUACGACGCACCGCCGCAUGGUGUGUGUGUGGAAAGUUUUUCGGUGGGGGAUGGGCUCGCGGCCUAUCAGCUUGUUGGUGGGGUGAUGGCCUACCAAGGCGAUGACGGGUAGCCGGCCUGAGAGGGCGACCGGCCACACUGGGACUGAGACACGGCCCAGACUCCUACGGGAGGCAGCAGUGGGGAAUAUUGCGCAAUGGGCGGAAGCCUGACGCAGCGACGCCGCGUGAGGGAUGACGGCCUUCGGGUUGUAAACCUCUUUCAGCAGGGACGAAGCGAUAGUGACGGUACCUGCAGAAGAAGCACCGGCCAACUACGUGCCAGCAGCCGCCGUAACAC